UCCAUGCAGAACUGCUGACUAUAGCGAUACGAUGAAGCUGCUAAGGAAGCAAAUUGUUGGGAUAUGGAUGCCUAUCGAAAUAAGUCUUUAAUCGAGGUUUAGAACCCAUUGUUUUAAUCCAUUUGUGCUGGACACAUCACUUGUUCUCUUGCCACUACUCGCGAACAGCGCCCUUACGGUUCUGAAGCGCAUAUUACGAUGAUCUUCUUAUCGCUUGGUCACAAAAACAGUCGUUCUUGCUUUUUUGCGCAAUGUGCAAAAAACAAAAAUAAAAAAAAGCAAAACAUCCCAAUCCAUGUUUGCGAUUGUGUCCGUCUAACGUUUUGCCUGUGUAUGCGUCACGGGAGGUCUUUGCCUGCUUAACAUGCCAUCCGUCCAUCCAUCGCCAUUAUCACCAUUGCAGAUGAUGGUAGAAUCCGAUUUACACGUGCCAUCAAAAGUGCUGCACUCUGCUAUAUGUAUGUAUGUAUUUAACGAAUCGUAUAAUUCAUUGAGAAUAGCCCGAGGCGCAGCUCUAAGUGUUCAACGAGCGCUCCGGGUAAUCAAUUCAAGAAAUUAUAUGACCACCGUCGGUGGCCUCAACGACCGCAUUCCGGAUCACGACCCGGAAAAAGAGUACGAAACAGUAGUAUGCUUCUACAGAAUUGCAGAUGAGUCUCAAUGCGUCUCUCGAAAGUCUUCUCACACUCGCACUCUACUUAACCAUUCGGUGUGCAGUGCGAACCGAUUAUACUGAUGAGUGAAACCAGGAUGAAGAUCUGCAAGCUGGUCCUGGCAUAAUGACAGAUAAAGCAAACAAAAUCGACAUAUAUGUAAAUGGAGAGAGAAAAAUGUAUAGAAAGUACUGCUGGUCCGAUUUGGCUCAAAUUUUGUUGGACGCAUUUGACAGUCUGUUGCUGCAAAUGAGAGUCUAGAUAUCAGAGUAUCCGUCACAAGGGGCUUUGCAAAUUUCGCCCCGCCCCUUCCGCCUCCACAAAGGAUGAAAAUCUGUGAUAUCCACAAUUUUGAAGAUACGAGAAAACUGCAAACGUAGAAUCGUUAGAAAACAAUCGUAUCUAGACCAUGGACUGCCGAAUCUGGAUCAGAUCGGAUUAUUAUAGCCAGAAAGAACCAAUCA